rnacentral:rRNA from 1 species
GGGCCCGCACAAGCGGUGGAGCAUGUGGUUUAAUUCGAUGCAACGCGAAGAACCUUACCAGGGUUUGACAUAGUACGAAGUUUUUUGAAAAAAAAGCCACCUUCGGGAACGUACAUACAGGUGGUGCAUGGCUGUCGUCAGCUCGUGUCGUGAGAUGUUGGGUUAAGUCCCGCAACGAGCGUAACCCUUGUUUUUAGUUGCCUUUCCGAGGAUAUUUAGAAAGACUGCCGAUUAUAAAUCGGAGGAAGGUAAGGACGACGUCAAGUCAUCAUGCCCCUUACACUCUGGGCUACACACGUGCUACAUUGGGCGAGACAAUGAGAUGCAAAUCUGCAAAGACUAGCU